rnacentral:rRNA from 1 species
CCCUUAGAUGUUCUGGGCCGCACGCGUGCUACACUGAGUGGAUCAGCGGGUCAGGUUGCGCGAAAGCGUUUCCUAAUCUUUAAAUCCGCUCGUGAUGGGGAUUGACGGUUGCAAUUUUCUGUCAUGAACGAGGAAUACCUUGUAAGCGCGGGUCAUCAUCCCGCGCUGAAUACGUCCCUGCCCUUUGUACACACCGCCCGUCGCUCCUACCGAUUGAGUGGUCCGGUGAGGUUUUGGGAUCUGAGCGGAAAGAGCGUUUCGCUGUUUCUGCUCGGAAAACUCAGUCGAACCUUAUCAUUUAGAGGAAGGAGAAGUCGUAACA